UGCGUCAUACUCUAUCUAAGAACGAUACUGAUUGUUUCAACAGGGUUCUCCUUUUCCCCUCCAUCUUCUACGCAGCCAACAACAAUAACCCUCAACCCAGAAACAAUAACCCUCCACCCAGAGCUCGAAUCUCCAUCAACCAACAACAAUAACCCUCAACCUAGAGCUCGAAUCUCCAUCAGAACAUUCGAAACCUACAAAAGGAAACAUAACCACCGAGUCAUUAGCCUCUCACCACAGAAAGCCCCAAAUCUAUGAACCCUAACUGUAGGUAAAACCCUAAAAUUGUGUUAUGCCUCCAUCUUCUUCAAUCAACAAAAUCGCGAGCAUCAUCUCUCCUUUCAACGGCCACCAUGAA
rnacentral:lncRNA from 1 species